GAUGAACGCUGGCGGCGUGCUUAACACAUGCAAGUCGAACGAUGAAGCCCAGCUUGCUGGGUGUAUUAGUGGCGAACGGGUGAGUAACACGUGAGUACCCUGCCCUUUACUCUUGGAUAAGCCCGGGCAACGGGGUCUAAUACUGGAUAGGAACGUCUACCGCCUGGUGGGUGUUGGAAAGCAUUGCGGUCAUGGAUGGACUCGCGGCCUAUCAGCUUGUUGGUGAGGUAAUGGCUCACCAAGGCGACGACGGGUAGCCGGCCUGGGAGGGGGACCGGCCACACUGGGACUGAGACACGGCCCAGACUCCUACGGGAGGCAGCAGUGGGGAGUAUUGCACAAUGGGCGAAAGCCUGAUGCAGCGACGCCGCGUGAGGGAUGACGGCCUUCGGGUUGUAAACCUCUUUCAGUAGGGAAGAAGCGAAAGUGACGGUACCUGCAGAAGAAGCACCGGCUAACUACGUG
rnacentral:rRNA from 1 species